UACGGAGGAUGCAAGCGUUAUCCGGAAUGAUUGGGCGUAAAGCGUCCGCAGGUGGCGAUGUAAGUCUGCUGUUAAAGAGUGAGGCUCAACCUCAUAAGAGCAGUGGAAACUACAUAGCUAGAGUACGUUCGGGGCAGAGGGAAUUCCUGGUGUAGCGGUGAAAUGCGUAGAGAUCAGGAAGAACACCAGUGGCGAAGGCGCUCUGCUAGGCCGUAACUGACACUGAGGGACGAAAGCUAGGGGAGCGAACGGG
rnacentral:rRNA from 1 species